rnacentral:rRNA from 1 species
UACGUAGGGGGCAAGCGUUGUCCGGAUUUAUUGGGCGUAAAGAGCGUGUAGGCGGCCAUUCAGGUCAGCUGUGAAAACUCGAGGCUCAACCUCGAGACGUCGGUUGAAACCGUUUGGCUAGAGUCCGGAAGAGGAGAGUGGAAUUCCCGGUGUAGCGGUGAAAUUCGUAGAUAUUGGGAAGAACACCGGUGGCGAAGGCGGCUCUCUGGACCGAUACUGACGCUGAGGCGCGAAAGCGUGGGGAGCAAACAGGG